UGGCACAUGCGGCGUGCUUAGACUGCAAGUCUCUCGAGAUCUACGGAUCUAGUGGCGCACGGGUGAGUAUCGCGUGACUGACCUGCCACCAAAGUUCCGAAUAACUGGCUGAAAGGUCAGCUAAUACGGAAUGUGCAGCAUCCUCGUGUGGAUGUUGUAAAGGCUAUGACCGCUUUGGGAUGGGGUUGCGUUCCAUCAGCUAGUUGGUGGGAUAAAGGCCCACCAAGGAGACGACGGAUAACCGGCCUGAGAGGGUGGCCGGUCACAGGGGCACUGAGACACGGGUCCCACUCCUACAGGAGGCAGCAGUUAGGAAUCUUCCCCAAUGGACGAAAGUCUGAGGGAGCGACGCCGCGUGAGGGAUGAAGGUUUUCGGAUCGUAAACCUCUGAAUCUGGGACGAAAGACCGGGACAACCGGAGAUGACGGUACCAGAGUAAUAGCACCGGCUAACUCCGUGCCAGCAGCCGCGGUAAU
rnacentral:rRNA from 1 species